rnacentral:rRNA from 1 species
GAGUUUGAUUAUGGCUCAGGAUAAACGCUGGCGGCGUGCCUAAUACAUGCAAGUCGAACGAACCGCGAGGAGCUUGCUUUUCAAGGUUAGUGGCGAACGGGUGAGUAAUACAUAAGCAACCUGCCCAUAAGGACCGGGAUAACGUUUGGAAACGAACGCUAAAACCGGAUAGGCAAGGAGGGGGCAUCCCCAUCUUGUUAAAGGUUAGAGACACAAAUGGAUGGGCUUAUGGUGUAUUAGCUAGAUGGUGAGGUAACGGCUCACCAUGGCGAUGAUACAUAGCCGACCUGAGAGGGUGAUCGGCCACAUUGGGACUGAGACACGGCCCAAACUCCUACGGGAGGCAGCAGUAGGGAAUUUUCGGCAAUGGGCGAAAGCCUGACCGAGCAACGCCACGUGAGUGAAGACGGCCUUCGGGUUGUAAAGCUCUGUUGUAAAGGAAGAACGACUGGGAAAGAA